CAGGUAUAUAUAGAAGUGAAACUAAUUUAAUACGACUUUAGGCUUUGUGUGACAAGGAGCUGCAUAUAAUAAGCGUUUAAGAAAGUUAAAAAGACGUCAAGGCAAAAUGUGAUUCAGCUUGCAUGAGUGGGGUAUAUUUAGCAUUGAAAGACACAUUGGUGGGUCACAUUGGCUGUUGUCAUUGGGCAGAAUCAACAAUAUACAGCGUUCCAGUCAAGGUACGAU